AGAGUUUGAUCGUGGCUCAGAUUGAACGCUGGCGGCAGGCUUAACACAUGCAAGUCAAGCGGAGUGAUGGUGCUUGCACUAUCACUUAGCGGCGGACGGGUGAGUAAUGCUUAGGAAUCUGCCUAUUAGUGGGGGACAACAUUUCGAAAGGAAUGCUAAUACCGCAUACGUCCUACGGGAGAAAGCAGGGGAUCUUCGGACCUUGCGCUAAUAGAUGAGCCUAAGUCGGAUUAGCUAGUUGGUGGGGUAAAGGCCUACCAAGGCGACGAUCUGUAGCGGGUCUGAGAGGAUGAUCCGCCACACUGGGACUGAGACACGGCCCAGACUCCUACGGGAGGCAGCAGUGGGGAAUAUUGGACAAUGGGCGCAAGCCUGAUCCAGCCAUGCCGCGUGUGUGAAGAAGGCCUUAUGGUUGUAAAGCACUUUAAGCGAGGAGGAGGCUACUUUAGUUAAUACCUAGAGAUAGUGGACGUUACUCGCAGAAUAAGCACCGGCUAACUCUGUGCCAGCAGCCGCGGUAAUACAGAGGGUGCAAGCGUUAAUCGGAUUUACUGGGCGUAAAGCGCGCGUAGGCGGCUAAUUAAGUCAAAUGUGAAAUCCCCGAGCUUAACUUGGGAAUUGCAUUCGAUACUGGUUAGCUAGAGUGUGGGAGAGGAUGGUAGAAUUCCAGGUGUAGCGGUGAAAUGCGUAGAGAUCUGGAGGAAUACCGAUGGCGAAAGGCAGCCAUCUGGCCUAACACUGACGCUGAGGUGCGAAAGCAUGGAGAGCAAACAGGAUUAGAUACCCUGGUAGUCCAUGCCGUAAACGAUGUCUACUAGCCGUUGGGGCCUUUGAGGCUUUAGUGGCGCAGCUAACGCGAUAAGUAGACCGCCUGGGGAGUACGGUCGCAAGACUAAAACUCAAAUGAAUUGACGGGGGCCCGCACAAGCGGUGGAGCAUGUGGUUUAAUUCGAUGCAACGCGAAGAACCUUACCUGGCCUUGACAUAGUAAGAACUUUCCAGAGAUGGAUUGGUGCCUUCGGGAACUUACAUACAGGUGCUGCAUGGCUGUCGUCAGCUCGUGUCGUGAGAUGUUGGGUUAAGUCCCGCAACGAGCGCAACCCUUUUCCUUAUUUGCCAGCGAGUAAUGUCGGGAACUUUAAGGAUACUGCCAGUGACAAACUGGAGGAAGGCGGGGACGACGUCAAGUCAUCAUGGCCCUUACGGCCAGGGCUACACACGUGCUACAAUGGUCGGUACAAAGGGUUGCUACCUAGCGAUAGGAUGCUAAUCUCAAAAAGCCGAUCGUAGUCCGGAUUGGAGUCUGCAACUCGACUCCAUGAAGUCGGAAUCGCUAGUAAUCGCGGAUCAGAAUGCCGCGGUGAAUACGUUCCCGGGCCUUGUACACACCGCCCGUCACACCAUGGGAGUUUGUUGCACCAGAAGUAGGUAGUCUAACCGCAAGGAGGACGCUUACCACGGUGUGGCCGAUGACUGGGGUGAAGUCGUAACAAGGUAUCCGUA
rnacentral:rRNA from 3 species